CAGUAGCCGCGGGAAUACAGAGGGUGCAGGCGUUAAUCGGAAUUACUGGGCGUAAAGCGCGCGUAGGUGGUUUGUUAAGUUGGAUGUGAAAUCCCCGGGCUCAACCUGGGAACUGCAUCCAAAACUGGCAGGCUAGAGUAGGGCAGAGGGUGGUGGAAUUUCCUGUGUAGCGGUGAAAUGCGUAGAUAUAGGAAGGAACACCAGUGGCGGAGGCGACCACCUGGGCUCAUACUGACACUGAGGUGCGAAAGCGUGGGGAGCAAACAGGAUUAGAUACCCCCGUAGUCCCUGUCUCUUAUAC
rnacentral:rRNA from 1 species